AUGGAUGUAUUCAACACAUGGGCACGCUGCAGCAUACCCUUGGUGGUCAGAGGACAUCUUUUGGAAGUACAUCCUCUCUGUUCCCUAUGUGAUCCGGGGAACUACAGCCUCCUCUCUGGUAAAUACAAAACUCAAGGAAAACAACAAGUGUUUGGACUUUGCUGAGGACACAGUUAAUAUUUGCAUCAGAGGACCAUCAACACAUGGAAAAGGUGCUAAUCCAGGCAGUCCACCUGAGUACAGAGGAGGAGGAGCGCUGAAUGACUGAAAACUGCCUCUUCUUACUACAAGCAGAAUGUCCUUCCUUGACUGCGUUCUUCCGCCUGGGCAGGAUGCCUGUCUUGAAGAGUCCUUUAAUUUAUCAGUGAAGGUUCUAUUCUUGGAGCUUUAUUUCAGAUGAAGACUUGCUGCCUUAGCCAUCUCUGUGGAAAUGGGGCCAAGAAGACCUGUGGACAGCAGCGCCUAAUGCAUCUUUGGGAAUGCUUCAUCUGCCCAACAUUGUGGAACAAGAGGACGUGCUAUACAGAAGACUUUCUCAAAUAGCUAGCAUUUGCCAACUUGAGCUGCAAAGCACAGAUACACAAGCCAAUUCUGAUAGACUCAGAAAUACUUGCAAGCAUUUCUAAGGGUCUCAGAACUGUUGACAUUUCUUUCUCACUGGACCAAGGACUCUACCGACACCAAGUACCAGAUGCAGAACUGAAGCCCUAGGCUGUACCUGUAGGUCAUGGAGGAGCACCUGCUCGAACUGUUCACUAAGAGUCAACAAAGAUGAGAGCCAUCUAGAACAUUCCUCACAAGGUCUGAGGGAAUAGUUGAGGCCAUCUGGCAUGUGUCCUUGCUCAUGAAGAUAUAUGAGAAUGACAGAGGCCAGGCCUGAGGAAGAUGGUGGAUGCUAGAGAGAGUGGACAGCAACUGGAUGGAAAGUGGAAGACUGAUGUGCAACCCUGAGUCCUAAUCAGCUGGCUCAGAGCCCCUGUGAGCAGACAUUGUGCUAUAAAGAACCCUAAUGUAAGCAGACACUUUGUAGGGCUCUAAUAUGCUAUCCUGUGUUCCCUAUAAGUAUACACUAUACAGAAGCCUAGUAUCCCACCCUGGGAUCCCCAAAGAGUAUUCAGUGUACAUAAUCCUGAAACCUGAAUCAGACAAAGCUGUUUAUUUAUGACAUCAUACUGAGACUGAGGCAAAACCACUUCUGGGAUCAUUCCUGGACAUUACAAAGAUAAGUCCACAGCAGCCACAGAUGCCACUUCCCUGGCUCAUUUGAUGACUAGAAGAGCUGCUGCUUUCCUCAGGCUUCCUGUCAGAGACUCCUAUCCAGUUGAACACCCUUUCAGGGUCCCAGCGGGCCUUUGUCUUAGUUAUAGUUUCUAUUGCUGACCAUGAACAAAAGCAACUUGGGGAGGAAAGAAUCUAUUUCAUUCUAUAGCCAUAUAUAGUCCAUCAUCUAGGGAAAUGAGGGUAGGAGCUCAAGACUGGCACUGAUGCAUAGACCAUGGAAGACUGCCUGCUCACUUAUAACGUGAUCACCCUGCUCUUCUACACCACCGAUGACCACCCAUCAAAGGGUGUCACCACCUAUGGUGAGCUGGACCUAAUCAUCAACCAUCAGUCAAGAAAAAGCACCAUAGGCUUGUUCGUAGGCUAAUCUUGUUAGGAGCAUUUUCUCAAUUUAGAUUCCCUCCUCCAAAAUGGCUGUAGCUUGUGUCGAGUUGACAGAGAACUAGCCAGCACAGACUUAGUAGCAUCUAUAUUCCUACUUCCCUACCAAAAACCUACCUCAGCUCCCUGUCCUGUGUCUGUCUCAUAUUAAAUUCAUUAAGUCCCAGAAUUUUCUUGAGUGUGCCCUGGGUGGUCACAGGCAGAAGGGUAUCCUCUACAUCCUGAGUUGGGACAUCACUGCAAGGCUUGGGGCAGCUAGCAAGCAGGGGCAUGCACAGGGGCUGUGAGGACUGACAAUUCAGCAGGGUAGAUGGGGAGAAUGCAGCUGCCUUUGUGGGAACUAUCUGGCCCAAACAAUAAUUUCCACAGUAACCAGGAAUGUAGAUGGGUACUAAACCCCAGGCCAUGAAGCAUGUUUUAUUCCUAGAUACCCCCAAAAGAAACUGAAUCCCAUCCCACAUGGCUUCAAUGGAGCCCUCUCUUCUGCCUUCAAAGGUAGGAAUUGAAAAGAGAAUACUGAAGUAAAUGCUUCCCUGUUUAGCCAGCCCUGGGUGAGCAUGCGGUACACAAGCUGGAGCUAUCACAG
rnacentral:sRNA from 1 species